rnacentral:rRNA from 1 species
GGUUAAGCGACUAAGCGUACACGGUGGAUGCCCUGGCAGUCAGAGGCGAUGAAGGACGUGCUAAUCUGCGAUAAGCGUCGGUAAGGUGAUAUGAACCGUUAUAACCGGCGAUUUCCGAAUGGGGAAACCCAGUGUGUUUCGACACACUAUCAUUAACUGAAUCCAUAGGUUAAUGAGGCGAACCGGGGGAACUGAAACAUCUAAGUACCCCGAGGAAAAGAAAUCAACCGAGAUUCCCCCAGUAGCGGCGAGCGAACGGGGAGCAGCCCAGAGCCUGAAUCAGUGUGUGUGUUAGUGGAAGCGUCUGGAAAGGCGCGCGAUACAGGGUGACAGCCCCGUACACAAAAAUGCACAUGCUGUGAGCUCGAUGAGUAGGGCGGGACACGUGGUAUCCUGUCUGAAUAUGGGGGGACCAUCCUCCAAGGCUAAAUACUCCUGACUGACCGAUAGUGAACCAGUACCGUGAGGGAAAGGCGAAAAGAACCCCGGCGAGGGGAGUGAAAAAGAACCUGAAACCGUGUACGUACAAGCAGUGGGAGCACGCUUAGGCGUGUGACUGCGUACCUUUUGUAUAAUGGGUCAGCGACUUAUAUUCUGUAGCAAGGUUAACCGAAUAGGGGAGCCGAAGGGAAACCGAGUCUUAACUGGGCGUUAAGUUGCAGGGUAUAGACCCGAAACCCGGUGAUCUAGCCAUGGGCAGGUUGAAGGUUGGGUAACACUAACUGGAGGACCGAACCGACUAAUGUUGAAAAAUUAGCGGAUGACUUGUGGCUGGGGGUGAAAGGCCAAUCAAACCGGGAGAUAGCUGGUUCUCCCCGAAAGCUAUUUAGGUAGCGCCUCGUGAAUUCAUCUCCGGGGGUAGAGCACUGUUUCGGCAAGGGGGUCAUCCCGACUUACCAACCCGAUGCAAACUGCGAAUACCGGAGAAUGUUAUCACGGGAGACACACGGCGGGUGCUAACGUCCGUCGUGAAGAGGGAAACAACCCAGACCGCCAGCUAAGGUCCCAAAGUCAUGGUUAAGUGGGAAACGAUGUGGGAAGGCCCAGACAGCCAGGAUGUUGGCUUAGAAGCAGCCAUCAUUUAAAGAAAGCGUAAUAGCUCACUGGUCGAGUCGGCCUGCGCGGAAGAUGUAACGGGGCUAAACCAUGCACCGAAGCUGCGGCAGCGACGCUGAUGCGUUGUUGGGUAGGGGAGCGUUCUGUAAGCCUGCGAAGGUGUGCUGUGAGGCAUGCUGGAGGUAUCAGAAGUGCGAAUGCUGACAUAAGUAACGAUAAAGCGGGUGAAAAGCCCGCUCGCCGGAAGACCAAGGGUUCCUGUCCAACGUUAAUCGGGGCAGGGUGAGUCGACCCCUAAGGCGAGGCCGAAAGGCGUAGUCGAUGGGAAACAGGUUAAUAUUCCUGUACUUGGUGUUACUGCGAAGGGGGGACGGAGAAGGCUAUGUUGGCCGGGCGACGGUUGUCCCGGUUUAAGCGUGUAGGCUGGUUUUCCAGGCAAAUCCGGAAAAUCAAGGCUGAGGCGUGAUGACGAGGCACUACGGUGCUGAAGCAACAAAUGCCCUGCUUCCAGGAAAAGCCUCUAAGCAUCAGGUAACAUCAAAUCGUACCCCAAACCGACACAGGUGGUCAGGUAGAGAAUACCAAGGCGCUUGAGAGAACUCGGGUGAAGGAACUAGGCAAAAUGGUGCCGUAACUUCGGGAGAAGGCACGCUGAUAUGUAGGUGAAGUCCCUCGCGGAUGGAGCUGAAAUCAGUCGAAGAUACCAGCUGGCUGCAACUGUUUAUUAAAAACACAGCACUGUGCAAACACGAAAGUGGACGUAUACGGUGUGACGCCUGCCCGGUGCCGGAAGGUUAAUUGAUGGGGUCAGCGCAAGCGAAGCUCCUGAUCGAAGCCCCGGUAAACGGCGGCCGUAACUAUAACGGUCCUAAGGUAGCGAAAUUCCUUGUCGGGUAAGUUCCGACCUGCACGAAUGGCGUAAUGAUGGCCAGGCUGUCUCCACCCGAGACUCAGUGAAAUUGAACUCGCUGUGAAGAUGCAGUGUACCCGCGGCAAGACGGAAAGACCCCGUGAACCUUUACUAUAGCUUGACACUGAACAUUGAGCCUUGAUGUGUAGGAUAGGUGGGAGGCUUUGAAGUGUGGACGCCAGUCUGCAUGGAGCCGACCUUGAAAUACCACCCUUUAAUGUUUGAUGUUCUAACGUGGACCCGUGAACCGGGUUGCGGACAGUGUCUGGUGGGUAGUUUGACUGGGGCGGUCUCCUCCUAAAGAGUAACGGAGGAGCACGAAGGUUGGCUAAUCCUGGUCGGACAUCAGGAGGUUAGUGCAAUGGCAUAAGCCAGCUUGACUGCGAGCGUGACGGCGCGAGCAGGUGCGAAAGCAGGUCAUAGUGAUCCGGUGGUUCUGAAUGGAAGGGCCAUCGCUCAACGGAUAAAAGGUACUCCGGGGAUAACAGGCUGAUACCGCCCAAGAGUUCAUAUCGACGGCGGUGUUUGGCACCUCGAUGUCGGCUCAUCACAUCCUGGGGCUGAAGUAGGUCCCAAGGGUAUGGCUGUUCGCCAUUUAAAGUGGUACGCGAGCUGGGUUUAGAACGUCGUGAGACAGUUCGGUCCCUAUCUGCCGUGGGCGCUGGAGAACUGAGGGGGGCUGCUCCUAGUACGAGAGGACCGGAGUGGACGCAUCACUGGUGUUCGGGUUGUCAUGCCAAUGGCACUGCCCGGUAGCUAAAUGCGGAAGAGAUAAGUGCUGAAAGCAUCUAAGCACGAAACUUGCCCCGAGAUGAGUUCUCCCUGACUCCUUGAGAGUCCUGAAGGAACGUUGAAGACGACGACGUUGAUAGGCCGGGUGUGUAAGCGCAGCGAUGCGUUGAGCUAACCGGUACUAAUGAACCGUGAGGCUUAACCUU